GAUGAACGCUAGCGGCAGGCCUAAUACAUGCAAGCCGAACGGCAAGCUUUGUAGCAAUACGGAGCCUAGAGUGGCGUAAGGGUGCGUAACACGUAUGCAAUCUACCCUCAACAGGAGAAUAGCUCCCCGAAAGGGGAAUUAAUGUUCCAUAGGAUCAUGGUGCGGCAUCGCACAGUGAUUAAACCGCAAGGGGUUGAGGAUGAGCAUGCGCAUGAUUAGUUAGUUGGCGGGGUAACGGCCCACCAAGACGAUGAUCAUUAGGGGAACUGAGAGGUUGACU
rnacentral:rRNA from 1 species